CCGAGACUGCAGCGCCGCCGCCGCUCGGGCCUGAGCCACAGGCCCCGCUUUCCGUCGAGCCCUACUUGGCCUGCUUUUGUUUCUUUCCAGGCAUGCAAAUCUUCACAGAGGCAGUGCAGAACUUCUUCAGUUUUAAGAGCUAUUCUGUUAAAAUUGAACAGGACUUUCUGAACAGAGUUCUUUUGAUCUCCUUGACUGCUUUCUAUAUUGUAA
rnacentral:lncRNA from 1 species